GCUGGUCAUGCACGCUCCCGAAGGGGGUGGGAUCCUGGAACCACUUACCUGGGAAUAAACGGCACAAGCUCUUCUUCCACCGACGCGCGCGCGCGCGCACUUCUGAGUUGUCUACUAUACAAUCGCGCUGGGAAACUACAGUCCAAGACUCAAACUAAUCGGAUAGUCACGGUUGCGGCUGCUCCCCCCACUUUUUUUUUUUUUUUUUUGCCUUCACUCCGGAGAAAUUGCGCUGGAGGAGGAUCCCCAUCAUCACCACCCGUUUCCCCCACCCCGCAAUUGCAUCCCCACUCCGUGAAGCGUUUAAAAAGGAAAGAAAUGUCCCCACGGGAUCCAACUGAGAUGUGUCUUCUUUUUUAAAGCCCCAAGGGCGAGAGGUCAGCCUGAGUGCACGCCAUCGAACUCACUGGAGUUUGCUCCGGAGUAGAAUCGCCUGUGAUAGAGCUGCAGGUCCAGUUCUCGUGCAUCAGAACAGUUCAUAGGACUGGAAAUCGGACUGGUUAUCCAGAAACUAUAUAUUUUAUUGUCUCUUUCAUCACCAUGAAUGACAAAAAUGAGAACAGGCAGAAGGUAAAGCCUUGUGGUUACUGUGGAUUCCUUCCCCACCAACCAGAUACACCGGACUUCAACUCCCAUUUGUCUUUUCCCAUGGAAAGCACUCCUCGGGGGAAGACUGACCUACUCAUGUUUUUGUCACCCAGUCAGGUCUGUUUGGAUGGAAGUUGUAGGUAGUACAGAGCAACCAAGCAGGUAGUAACUAUGUUUUGUGAAGUAUAUAUUCAUCAAGGAGACUUUGUCCUGAUUUGGGUGCUACACUGUGGCUCAUCAGGGGUUAUUUAAGAUUAAGCUUAGUUAACCAUGAGAAGCCCUGGUGUCCACAAUUGCCAUGUUGCAUAUCUAAUCUGCAUUCAGGGGUUCUGAUCUUACAGUAUGUGAACACAGUGAGUGAGUGUUAGACCAUGGAUUAUGCAAGCGUUAAGCAGACCAUGAGUUAUGCAAAGGUUGUUUAAGGUGAGAAAGCACCAAAAAAAAAAAAAAAAGUGUUUGGGGGAUGAAAGGCAAGUUCAAAAGAAUGGAGUGUGAUCCCUGAGAAAUCUCAGAAGGCCAUUCUGGGGCUGGAAGGGCCAAAUUUGGAUGCUGGAACAGACAUUUUCUACCCCUGGUGCUGCUAAGUAGGAAACAAUUGACUGAGAAAAGUCCUCUAUAUGCACUGUAGAAAACUGGCUGCAUUUUACUUUUACCAUGAAUGACUUAGGAGUUCUAAGCAUUAAUUGGAAGUUGUGAAUUAAGUAAGCAUUCCCCUUGAAAAAGAGACACUCCCAAAAAGUAUGGGAAAAGAUACAUGUUGAU